UACGGAGGGUGCAAGCGUUAUCCGGAAUCAUUGGGUUUAAAGGGUCCGUAGGCGGUUUUAUAAGUCAGUGGUGAAAUCCGGUAGCUCAACUAUCGAACGGCCAUUGAUACUGUAGAACUUGAAUUAUUGUGAAGUAACUAGAAUAUGUAGUGUAGCGGUGAAAUGCUUAGAUAUUACAUGGAAUACCAAUUGCGAAGGCAGGUUACUAACAAUACAUUGACGCUGAUGGACGAAAGCGUGGGGAGCGAACAGG
rnacentral:rRNA from 1 species